GAAGGUUUUCACACCACUUCCCCGUCCAAGGAAGAAGGUUCGUCAUCCAUUAUUUAUGAAAUCACCAUGUUGACUCUCUGUGGAGGUCUGCUUCUGCUCUUUGUGAUCAGUGUCAUAGUGAGAGUUCUCCAGAGUCGCUGCACUCCACAUUACUCUUCCAAAGACCUCAAUGCACCCACAGUUGCCCUGGAAAACACUGCCACGACCAACAGCUGCUCUGAUAGGAUUUCAACGGUGAAUUUGAGUGGCCCGGUGUGUCUGAGUUACGUUUCCAGCAGGCCCACUGGAGGUACAGAAGAGACAAUUUCCAUUUCUGAGCUCCCGUUCUUCUCCUUUGCUGUGUCAAUGACACCCCCGAAUUCACCACUGGAGCAGUGAUGGCUCCUCUUGUCAGCUGCUUUAUUCUGGAGACAAACAUGCACAAAGGGCUCUGGGGUGCACGUUGGCAAGCAAUGGGCUGGUGUGUCCUACAUUUCCUCCACCAUGACUUCAGGUUGCCAACCUGUACUACACCAGUAUUAGAAAAAAGAGGAAACUGGGGAUUUUUUGUUUUUUAUUUUUUUUUUGGAAGGGGAGAAAAAGUAUGGAUUCACUCACCUUAUCUUUGUGGAGUGAUGUAUUAAAAGUGUACCAAGGAUUUACUUUUCUCCAUAUUAUUUCUUUCUGUUGAAUGAGUCAUGAGAAGAAAUAAACAUGGGGGAAUUUCAGGUGAUUUUUAUUCA
rnacentral:lncRNA from 1 species